GGUCUUAUAUUUUAAGAAAAAUAUUAAAUUGCAAAUUUAAAGAUGAUAUUUAACUAAGACUU
rnacentral:tRNA from 1 species